UCCAUUUAUUUUCAAAGACAAAUUACAAUUUGUAUAGGCCACUUCAUGAGAAAAUUACAUAAAUUAUUACAUAAAAAACAUAUAAUCAUACCACAUAAAAACAUGAAAUCAUCACAUUAACGUCUUACAAAUAAUUCUCCAUAUUAAAGGCAAAAUAUUCAUCAUUAGUAUAAAGACAGGUUUCUUAUUAGAAAAUCCUUAAUUUUAAGUUUAUAUUCACUCACUAGUAAGCCUCUUUAUAUGUAACGGUAACUGAUUAUAAAACCUAAUAAUUGCACAAGCCCUAAAACUCAUAUGACUAGAUUUAAACCGACAAUAUUCGUUUCUAUGUUCAACCUAUUUCUUGUGUUGUGCGAAUAAACAUCAAAAUGACUAGAGAAUGAGAGCAAAUUAAUCUUUAUAAAUAAUAAACAUUGAAAAAUAAAAAUACAUGUCAAACACAUAAUUCUCAAUCUAACAAAUAGCGGUUUGCAGUGCUUAAGGGGAGAAACAUUACCGUAUACAUGGUUCUUAUUGCUCUUUUUUGUAACACAAAACGUGAAUGGAAAUCACUACAAUUGGCCCAUAAUAUUGUUUCCAUACAAAAGGUGUGAAUGAACGUAACUAUAGUAGACAUUUACUAAAAAAUUUACUAGGAAAAGACACACUAUUUCCUUUUAUCUUCUCAACAUAAAAACACCUCUUGUUACCUUGCGUUGGGGAUAGUGCAGUCAAUAAAAUAAUGGCAAUAAUUAUAUACAAACACAUACCAAAAAAAUUGUGACUGUGGGAACUUUUUGUAUGAUGAAUGACUUCAUUGACAUUCUCUACACAAUACAAAUAAAUAAUAUAUUAACAGUGUACAGUUAAAAUGUUUAAUAAGUCUAAAUCUAUCCAACUCGACUGUAGUUUCAUAUGCAAUUCAAUUUGUAAGUAAUAUCACAAACAAAAUUAUUAAAUAGUCGGCAUGAUCUAGUCUAGCCUACUCCUAUAGACCUACUUUUAUAUUUUGUAUCCUCAGUCGAUUCUGAACAUUCUAGAGGUUAUUUCAAUGAGAUAAAUAUUCUCACACAUACCUCAUUCAAUUUUCGUAAAAGUACCAAUUGGAAUGAUAAUUUUAUAUUGAUAGAAAUCAAUUUGAAAAAAAAAACACAUCUAUUCCUGCAGUGGCAGACUGGCUCUUCUUGAAAUCUUGCCUCUCUCUGUCAUGGCUGCCCUUAGUUCGCCGUGUAACACAUUGAGAGCGCUGUAAGCACACCAACAGCCACUCUAUAGUUUACUAUAAUAGCUCGUUGCUACUUGCUAGUGGUAAAACUGCUUACGAAUACGAAAAGGCAGUCGCCAUUGCCAUUUUUGCUCUAUCCCAUCCCAUCUUUCACACGCGUUUACAUUGAAUUUGAUAGUUUUGCUACUGUAAUUUUAAUUAAAUAGCAAUUAUGGGGGGUUGUUCCUAAUUGUUGUAAUAAUAAUGCCAAAGGCUUUUGAACGUUUCGUUUUCCGUCUAGUAGUUCAAGAAGAAGUAAAAUUUAGCUACAACAUUUUAGACGUACCAACUACCAAGUAAAAACCAACUUUCAGACUGAGGUUAUGAAAACUAGUGGAAUUGUUGGAUCUUCAAAUAUUAGUGGAACCUGUGAAACUGGCAAAUGUGAUGUAGAGGAUGGAGUUGCACAUAUUCAUGAGUUGAUAUUUUCAAUU